rnacentral:rRNA from 1 species
AGAGUUUGAUCCUGGCUCAGAACGAACGCUGGCGGCAGGCCUAACACAUGCAAGUCGAGCGCACCCCUUCGGGGGCGAGCGGCGGACGGGUUAGUAACGCGUGGGAACAUACCCCUUUCUACGGAAUAGCCUCGGGAAACUGAGAGUAAUACCGUAUAAGCCCUUCGGGGGAAAGAUUUAUCGGGAAGGGAUUGGCCCGCGUUAGAUUAGAUAGUUGGUGGGGUAAUGGCCUACCAAGUCUACGAUCUAUAGCUGGUUUUAGAGGAUGAUCAGCAACACUGGGACUGAGACACGGCCCAGACUCCUACGGGAGGCAGCAGUGGGGAAUCUUAGACAAUGGGCGCAAGCCUGAUCUAGCCAUGCCGCGUGUGUGAUGAAGGCCUUAGGGUCGUAAAGCACUUUCGCUAGGGAUGAUAAUGACAGUACCUAGUAAAGAAACCCCGGCUAACUCCGUGCCAGCAGCCGCGGUAAUAAGGGCGA